AGGUUGAAGAGAUUUUAAAAUCAAGUUCUUCAGGAGAUGGAUCAAGUAAGCCUAAAGAUCUUCAAAUCUGGAGGACCUUUUGUGGCCAACUCAGAAAAGAGGAUUCAGAAUUGAUUCUGCUGUGUUUGAUGAUUUCGACUAGCAGAUUCCACCUGGCAAAACCCAAAAGAGGACCACCUAUCCAUGAAAUGAGCUGGGGAUAAUUUCUUCAUGAAGAUUUUUGAUUUGGUGCUUGCAAAGAGACAAUAAUUUUAUUGAGAAUUUAAAAACCUUGGUACAUUUGAUUGCAAGAUUAGAGCAAUAAGGACUUCCAGGAAAAGAGGAGGAAUCAUCAAGAUAAAGAACAAGGAAGGUUGGACACUGAAGUCCUGGCUUUGGAAUCGACCCCAUCCAUUUUAAACAGGUAAUAAGACUGGGUGAAAAACAGAUUCUCUUCCUAAAAGGAAGAUUUCAAAUGACUGAUCCUAUUCAGGCUGAUGAUAAGUAACCUGGACUACAGAGGAUUUUCAAAUAAAAUUAGAUAGCAAUUUCAGGAAUUAUAGUAAUUGUGAAGUGAUUUUAAUGAAAAUAUGUGACAGAACCUAGAAACAUGAUACUGAGUGAAUAUUCUUUUUAAUAAAUUCUACUUUUCUAACUA